AUACGAACCUGACGAACGUUAUUCGGAAUCACUGGGCUUAAAGAGUGCGUAGGCGGUCAUGCAAGUUGGGUGUGAAAUCCCACGGCUCAACCGUGGAACUGCGCUCAAAACUGCAUGACUCGAGGGAGACAGGGGUGAGCGGAACUGAUGGUGGAGCGGUGAAAUGCGUUGAUAUUAUCAGGAACACCGGUGGCGAAGGCGGCUCACUGGGUCUCUUCUGACGCUGAGGCACGAAAGCUAGGGUAGCGAACGGGAUUAGAAACCCCAGUAGUCC
rnacentral:rRNA from 1 species